CUGCGGCAGCGAACGUAUCACCCAAGACAACUUUACGGAGUUGACGAUUGACGGAGCGAAGCGACGUCAAAGCGUUCAUUAAAGUCGAGUUGGCUUAGGGAUACGUUCGUUGGGUAGGGGAGCGUUCUGUAAGCCUGUGAAGGUGUGUCGUGAGGCAUGCUGGAGGUAUCAGAAGUGCGAAUGCUGACAUAAGUAACGAUAAAGCGGGUGAAAAGCCCGCUCGCCGGAAGACCAAGGGUUCCUGUCCAACGUUAAUCGGGGCAGGGUGAGUCGACCCCUAAGGCGAGGCCGAAAGGCGUAGUCGAUGGGAAACGGGUUAAUAUUCCCGUACUUGGUGUUACUGCGAAGGGGGGACGGAGAAGGCUAUGUUGGCCGGGCGACGGUUGUCCCGGUUUAAGCGUGUAGGUGUGUGUUCCAGGUAAAUCCGGUUCACUUUAACACUGAGGCGUGACGACGAGGCACUACGGUGCUGAAGCAACAAAUGCCCUGCUUCCAGGAAAAGCCUCUAAGCAUCAGGUAACACGAAAUCGUACCCCAAACCGACACAGGUGGUCAGGUAGAGAAUACCAAGGCGCUUGAGAGAACUCGGGUGAAGGAACUAGGCAAAAUGGUGCCGUAACUUCGGGAGAAGGCACGCUGACACGUAGGUGAAGUGAUUUACUCAUGGAGCUGAAGUCAGUCGAAGAUACCAGCUGGCUGCAACUGUUUAUUAAAAACACAGCACUGUGCAAACACGAAAGUGGACGUAUACGGUGUGACGCCUGCCCGGUGCCGGAAGGUUAAUUGAUGGGGUCAGCGCAAGCGAAGCUCCUGAUCGAAGCCCCGGUAAACGGCGGCCGUAACUAUAACGGUCCUAAGGUAGCGAAAUUCCUUGUCGGGUAAGUUCCGACCUGCACGAAUGGCGUAAUGAUGGCCAGGCUGUCUCCACCCGAGACUCAGUGAAAUUGAACUCGCUGUGAAGAUGCAGUGUACCCGCGGCAAGACGGAAAGACCCCGUGAACCUUUACUAUAGCUUGACACUGAACAUUGAGCCUUGAUGUGUAGGAUAGGUGGGAGGCUUUGAAGUGUGGACGCCAGUCUGCAUGGAGCCGACCUUGAAAUACCACCCUUUAAUGUUUGAUGUUCUAACGUGGACCCGUAAUCCGGGUUGCGGACAGUGUCUGGUGGGUAGUUUGACUGGGGCGGUCUCCUCCUAAAGAGUAACGGAGGAGCACGAAGGUUGGCUAAUCCUGGUCGGACAUCAGGAGGUUAGUGCAAUGGCAUAAGCCAGCUUGACUGCGAGCGUGACGGCGCGAGCAGGUGCGAAAGCAGGUCAUAGUGAUCCGGUGGUUCUGAAUGGAAGGGCCAUCGCUCAACGGAUAAAAGGUACUCCGGGGAUAACAGGCUGAUACCGCCCAAGAGUUCAUAUCGACGGCGGUGUUUGGCACCUCGAUGUCGGCUCAUCACAUCCUGGGGCUGAAGUAGGUCCCAAGGGUAUGGCUGUUCGCCAUUUAAAGUGGUACGCGAGCUGGGUUUAGAACGUCGUGAGACAGUUCGGUCCCUAUCUGCCGUGGGCGCUGGAGAACUGAGGGGGGCUGCUCCUAGUACGAGAGGACCGGAGUGGACGCAUCACUGGUGUUCGGGUUGUCAUGCCAAUGGCACUGCCCGGUAGCUAAAUGCGGAAGAGAUAAGUGCUGAAAGCAUCUAAGCACGAAACUUGCCCCGA
rnacentral:rRNA from 3 species